rnacentral:rRNA from 1 species
UACAGAGGGGGCAAGCGUUGUUCGGAAUUACUGGGCGUAAAGGGCCAGUAGGCGGCCAACUAAGUCGGAUGUGAAAUCCCCAGGCUCAACUUGGGAACUGCAUCCGAUACUGGAUGGCUUGAAUUCGGGAGAGGGAUGCAGAAUUCCAGGUGUAGCGGUGAAAUGCGUAGAUAUCUGGAGGAAUACCGGUGGCGAAGGCGGCAUCCUGGACCGACAUUGACGCUGAACGGCGAAAGCUAGGGGAGCAAACGGG